GAGACCUCAGGUCAGGCGGGGCUACCCGCUGAGUUUAAGCAUAUCAAUA
rnacentral:rRNA from 1 species